rnacentral:rRNA from 1 species
GACGAACCGUGCGAACGUUGUUCGGAUUCACUGGGCUUAAAGGGCGCGUAGGCGGGCCGUCAAGUCAGGGGGUGAAAGCCCCCCAGCUCAACUGGGGAAGUGCCUCUGAGACUGGCGGUCUCGAGGGGGAUAGGGGCAUGCGGAACUCUCGGUGGAGCGGUGAAAUGCGUAGAUAUCGGGAGGAACGCCGGUGGCGAAAGCGGCAUGCUGGAUCCCUUCUGACGCUGAGGCGCGAAAGCCAGGGGAGCGAACGGG